UGAGCAUGGAUUGUGUGUAUCGGUGUUGUGCUAAAUCAUUGCACUCUUCCGAAAGAGUUCCCGGCAAAAUAAAUUUGGGGAAGAUGGGCAGUUGUGUUUCAUCUUUGCUGUUGAAAUAACAACAAUCAUCUCUCCUACAUCU